rnacentral:lncRNA from 1 species
UGUUGAAAGCUGGACUGCAAUGCAACAUGGAGCCAGAAGCUUGCUACUGUCGAGACUAGCAGCUAUCGAGCUCAGCUCAUUUUGCUUGGUGCGCACGAAUGGUUUUUGAACCGAAUGAAGCAACCAACUUUGCUGUUUUGUUUUGAUGUAAUUUGGUUCGGUUCAAUUUUAGUUUGUUUGUAAUACUAGUUAAACUUAAGUUAGUGAUAAGAUCUUUUGAUGUAAUGGCUGAUUGGUCAGCUAUGUUUGAUUAUUUUUGGCUAGUGAUUAGGUUUGUGUUAGUUGGGGCAGUUAAAUACAUUAGGUAACUGUCAAUGUACAUUGUAACUCUUUUAUAUUUCAAAUUUGAAUGAAAAAUGGGGAUGUUCAGUUACAAGCUUGCUGAGUAUUCAAUUUUGAUCAAAUUUUUGCUUUGCUUUUGCUCUUUCUUUGCUUCGAUUCUUCUUGCUUCAGUCUUGCAAACACUGUGUUGUAACUUUGUUUGAUGUUUGCUGCUGCCAUUGUUCCAAC